GCUCAGAAACUCAAAGGAAGUUGACGGGGCCCGGCACAAGCGGAGGAGCAUGUGGUUUAAUUCGAUGAUACGCGAGGAACCUUACCUGGGCUCGAACGUAAGAUGACUGUAGGUGAAAGCUUACAUCUCUUCGGAGCAUUUUACGAGGUGCUGCAUGGUUGUCGUCAGCUCGUGCCGUGAGGUGUCGGGUUAAGUCCCAUAACGAGCGCAACCCCUACCUUAGUUGCCAUCAGGUUAAGCUGGGGACUCUAAAGGAACUGCCUACGCAAGUAGUGAGGAAGGCGGGGAUGACGUCAAAUCAGCACGGCCCUUACGUCCAGGGCUACACACGUGCUACAAUGGCCGAUACAGAGGGCAGCUACCUGGUGACAGGAUGCAAAUCUCCAAAGUCGGUCUCAGUUCGGAUCGGAGUCUGCAACCCGACUCCGUGAAGUUGGAUUCGCUAGUAAUCGCGCAUCAGCCAUGGCGCGGUGAAUACGUUCCCGGGCCUU
rnacentral:rRNA from 1 species